CGGGGUGCACCAGGCGCGAAAACUCUACAAUGCAGGCAACUGCGAUAGGGGAACAUCGAGUGAUCCUCAUAUUGGGGGUCUGUCCCACCGUCUAAAAAACGGUGGUUAGCAAGGGCCGGGCAAGACCGGUGCCAGCCGCCGCGGUAAUACCGGCGGCUCGAGUGGUGGCCGAUAUUAUUGAGUCUAAAGGGUCCGUAGCCGGCUUUGCAAGUCUCUCGGGAAAUCCAGCGGCUUAACCGUUGGUCGUCCGGGGGGUACUACAUUGCUUGGGACUGGGAGAGGUAGGAGGUACUCAGGGGGUAGGAGUGAAAUCCUGUAAUCCUCUGGGGACCACCGGUGGCGAAGGCGUCCUACCAGAACAGGUCCGACGGUGAGGGACGAAAGCUAGGGGCACGAACCGGAUUAGAUACCCGGGUAGUCCUAGCCGUAAACGAUGCUCGCUAGGUGUCACAACAGUCGUGAACUGUUGUGGUGCCGUAGGGAAGCCGUGAAGCGAGCCACUUGGGAAGUACGACCGCAAGGUUAAACUUAAAGGAAUUGGCGGGGGAGCACAAGGGCGAUUCGCG
rnacentral:rRNA from 1 species